rnacentral:rRNA from 1 species
GACGAACGCUGGCGGCGUGCUUAACACAUGCAAGUCGAACGGAAAGGCCCUGCUUUUGUGGGGUGUUCGAGUGGCGAACGGGUGAGUAACACGUGAGUAACCUGCCCUUGCUUUUGGGAUAACUUCAGGAAACUGGGGCUACUACCGGUAAGUAGCCCCUGCUCCGUGGUGGGGGUUGGAAAGUUUCGGCGGUUGGGGUUGGACUCGCGGCUUAUCACCUUGUUGGUGGGGUAGUGGCUUACCAAGGCGUUGACGGGUAGCCGGCCUGAGAGGGUGACCGGCCACAUUGGGACUGAGAUACGGCCCAGACUCAUACGGGAGGCAGCAGUGGGGAAUAUUGCACAAUGGGCGGAAGCCUGAUGCAGCAACGCCGCGUGCGGGAUGACGGCCUUCGGGUUGUAAACCGCUUUCGCCUGUGACGAAGCGUGAGUGACGGUAAUGGGUAAAGAAGCACCGGCUAACUACGUG